rnacentral:rRNA from 1 species
GAUGAACGCUGGCGGCGUGCCUAAUACAUGCAAGUCGAGCGAACGGACGAGAAGCUUGCUUCUCUGAUGUUAGCGGCGGACGGGUGAGUAACACGUGGAUAACCUACCUAUAAGACUGGGAUAACUUCGGGAAACCGGAGCUAAUACCGGAUAAUAUUUUGAACCGCAUGGUUCAAAAGUGAAAGACGGUCUUGCUGUCACUUAUAGAUGGAUCCGCGCUGCAUUAGCUAGUUGGUAAGGUAACGGCUUACCAAGGCAACGAUGCAUAGCCGACCUGAGAGGGUGUACGGCCACACUGGAACUGAGACACGGUAAAGACUCCUACGGGAGGCAGAAGUAGGGAAUCUUCCGAAAUGGGCGAAAGCCUGACGGAGCAACGCCGCGUGAGUGAUGAAGGUCUUCGGAUCGUAAGACUCUGUUAUUAGGGAAGAACAUAUGUGUAAGUAACUGUGCACAUCUUGACGGUACCUAAUCAGAAAGCCACGGCUAACUACGUG